rnacentral:rRNA from 1 species
AGCGAACGCUGGCGGCAGGCUUAACACAUGCAAGUCGAGCGGGCGUAGCCAUACGUCAGCGGCAGACGGGUGAGUAACGCGUGGGAACGUACCUUUUGGUUCGGAACAACACAGGGAAACUUGUGCUAAUACCGGAUAAGCCCUUACGGGGAAAGAUUUAUCGCCGAAAGAUCGGCCCGCGUCUGAUUAGCUAGUUGGUGAGGUAACGGCUCGCCAAGGCGACGAUCAGUAGCUGGUCUGAGAGGAUGAUCAGCCACAUUGGGACUGAGACACGGCCCAAACUCCUACGGGAGGCAGCAGUGGGGAAUAUUGGACAAUGGGGGCAACCCUGAUCCAGCCAUGCCGCGUGAGUGAUGAAGGCCCUAGGGUUGUAAAGCUCUUUUGUGCGGGAAGAUAAUGACGGUACCGCAAGAAUAAGCCCCGGCUAACUUCGUG